rnacentral:rRNA from 1 species
AGAGUUUGAUCCUGGCUCAGGACGAACGCUGGCGGCGCGCCUAACACAUGCAAGUCGAACGAGCGAGAGAGAGCUUGCUUUCUCGAGCGAGUGGCGAACGGGUGAGUAACGCGUGAGGAACCUGCCUCAAAGAGGGGGACAACAGUUGGAAACGACUGCUAAUACCGCAUAAGCCCACGGGUCGGCAUCGACCAGAGGGAAAAGGAGCAAUCCGCUUUGAGAUGGCCUCGCGUCCGAUUAGCUAGUUGGUGAGGUAAUGGCCCACCAAGGCGACGAUCGGUAGCCGGACUGAGAGGUUGAACGGCCACAUUGGGACUGAGACACGGCCCAGACUCCUACGGGAGGCAGCAGUGGGGAAUAUUGCACAAUGGGGGAAACCCUGAUGCAGCGACGCCGCGUGGAGGAAGAAGGUCUUCGGAUUGUAAACUCCUGUUGUUGGGGAAGAUAAUGACGGUACCCAACAAGGAAGUGACGGCUAACUACGUGCCAGCAGCCGCGGUAAAACGUAGGUCACAAGCGUUGUCCGGGAAUUACUGGGUGUAAAGGGAGCGCAGGCGGGAAGACAAGUUGGAAGUGAAAUCUAUGGGCUCAACCCAUAAACUGCUUUCAAAACUGUUUUUCUUGAGUAGUGCAGAGGUAGGCGGAAUUCCCGGUGUAGCGGUGGAAUGCGUAGAUAUCGGGAGGAACACCAGUGGCGAAGGCGGCCUACUGGGCACCAACUGACGCUGAGGCUCGAAAGUGUGGGUAGCAAACAGGAUUAGAUACCCUGGUAGUCCACACCGUAAACGAUGAUUACUAGGUGUUGGGGGAUUGACCCCCUCAGUGCCGCAGUUAACACAAUAAGUAAUCCACCUGGGGAGUACGACCGCAAGGUUGAAACUCAAAGGAAUUGACGGGGGCCCGCACAAGCAGUGGAGUAUGUGGUUUAAUUCGACGCAACGCGAAGAACCUUACCAAGUCUUGACAUCCCUUGACGAUACUGGAAACAGUAUUUCUCUUCGGAGCAAGGAGACAGGUGGUGCAUGGUUGUCGUCAGCUCGUGUCGUGAGAUGUUGGGUUAAGUCCCGCAACGAGCGCAACCCUUAUGGUCAGUUACUACGCAAGAGGACUCUGGCCAGACUGCCGUUGACAAAACGGAGGAAGGUGGGGAUGACGUCAAAUCAUCAUGCCCUUUAUGACUUGGGCUACACACGUACUACAAUGGCGUUAAACAAAGAGAAGCAAGACCGCGAGGUGGAGCAAAACUCAGAAACAACGUCCCAGUUCGGACUGCAGGCUGCAACUCGCCUGCACGAAGUCGGAAUUGCUAGUAAUCGUGGAUCAGCAUGCCACGGUGAAUACGUUCCCGGGCCUUGCACACACCGCCCGUC